GCUAUUAAAGCCACCAUUAUAAACACCAUCCACACAACACAACGGUUCAUACAAUUUUUUUUUUUCUCUUUUCUUUUUUGAUCUUAAUCCAACAAUCCCUCAACUCUUCGUCGUUCUCGUGUUCCCAUCUCCAAUAGUGAAAUGAACCCACCCUCUCUGUAGCAUCCUCCUCCUCUGUUUCUCAAAUCCGCCAUGGCAGACCACAAGAAGAAGAAGAAGAAGAGGAAGAACAACAUUCAAAUUCUCAUCAGAGAAUUCGACCCCAUUAAAGACAAACCUUCCGUUGAAGAUGUUGAACGACGAUGCGAAGUUGGCUCAACCAAAAACAAAAACUUCUCCCUCUUCACCGAUCUCCUCGGUGACCCAAUUUGCAGAGUCCGCCAUUCCCCUGCCUUUCUCAUGCUCGUCGCGGAAAUUGCCGCCCACAACGAGAUCGUCGGCAUGAUCAGAGGCUGCAUCAAGACUGUUACUUGCUGCUCUAAAUCCACUAGAAAUGCCGGAAUUAACGCCUCUGAUCUCCCCCAGCUCGCCCCUGUUUACACCAAACUCGCUUACAUCUUAGGCCUUCGCGUCUCCCCCGAUCACCGGAGAUUGGGGAUUGGAUUGAAUCUGGUAAGGCGAAUGGAGGAAUGGUUCAGAGAGAAGAAAGCGGAAUAUUCAUACAUAGCUACAGAGAUUGACAACGUCGCUUCAAUUAAGCUAUUCACCCAUAAAUGCGGCUAUUCCAAGUUCAGAACGCCGUCGAUUCUCGUGAACCCUGUUUUCGCCCACCGGCUCCGACUCUCCGACCAAGUCACCAUCCUCCAGCUCGAGCUGACUGUCGCCGAGACACUGUAUCGGUGUCGGUUCGCGACGGCGGAGUUUUUCCCGCGCGACAUUGACGCGGUGCUCUCCAAUCGGCUAAGCCUCGGCACAUUUCUAGCAGUGCCACGUGGGAGUUUUACAGAUGGGUUGUGGGUCGAGUCUGAUCGGUUUUUGUCGUGUCUGCCUGAAUCGUGGGCGGUUUUAAGCGCGUGGAAUUGCAAGGACGUGUAUGCGCUGGAAGUGCGUGGCGUGUCCGUGGUGAAGCGAGCGAUGGCAAAACUCAGCCGUGUGAUUGAUCGAGGGCUGCCGUGGUUGCGGCUGCCGUCAGUUCCGGAGGUGUUUAAGCCAUUUGGAGUGCUGUUUUUGUAUGGGGUAGGAGGAGAAGGCCCACUCGCAGGGAAGCUGAUGAAGGCGCUUUGCCACCACGCGCACAAUUUGGCAAAGGAGCGUGGCUGUGGUGUGGUGGCUACGGAGGUUUCAAACGAUGAGCCGCUCAAAUCCGACAUUCCACAUUGGAAAAAACUGUCAUGUCCGGAGGAUUUAUGGUGCAUUAAACGCCUUGGUGAAGGCUACACCAACAACUCCCUCGGCGAUUGGACUAAAUCGCCGCCCAGCUUCUCCAUAUUCGUUGAUCCUAGAGAAUUCUAAUUCACCCCAAUCCCUACCGCUACUUCCAUUCAUUGUUUGCCCCGAAAUAAAAUAAGAUAUCAUUUUUAUAACGAGUAAUGUUGAAUGGAAAGAGUAUGUAAUACCAUUAUACGAUAAAAGGGUUCAUUGCGCAAGACCCACAAUAGUACAUUCUUAUAGUUAUUUGAGUACUUGUUGUGCG